rnacentral:rRNA from 1 species
CAGAAACUACAAAGGAAGUUGACGGGGCCCGCACAAGCGGUGGAGCAUGUGGUUUAAUUCGAUGAUACGCGAGGAACCUUACCAGGGCUUGACAUACACUGGAAUGGGCGUGAAAGCGUCCAGCCCCUCGGGGCCGGUGUACAGGUGCUGCAUGGCUGUCGUCAGCUCGUGCUGUGAAGUGUUGGGUUAAGUCCCACAACGAGCGCAACCCCUGCUAUCUGUUGCCAGCAAGUAAUGUUGGGGACUCAGAUGGAACUGCCGGUGACAAACCGGAGGAAGGUGGGGACGACGUCAAGUCGUCAUGGCCCUUAUGUCCUGGGCUACACACGUGCUACAAUGGCCGGUACAGAGCGCAGCGAAGCCGCGAGGCAAAGCGAAUCGCAAAAAGCCGGUCUCAGUACGGAUUGGAGUCUGAAACUCGACUCCAUGAAGUUGGAAUCGCUAGUAAUCGCGCAUCAGCAUGGCGCGGUGAAUACGUUCCCGGGCCUU